rnacentral:piRNA from 1 species
UGUGAAGUGACUGAGUAGCUCAUAGCUAU